GGCCUCAGGAAGAGGAGCGGGCUUGGCCACGGCUUUUCAAGUAACUUCACAAAUCGGAAAACCGCUCGCAGCCCUUCGCGGUCAAUCUGGUGGAGACAGACCCAGCACCUCGCCCCCAGCACACGCUCACGCUCUUCCCCACCCGCGCGCGCGCGCACACACGCACCUCCACACACAGGUGAAGGCGGCUUUGACCUUGCGGGAGCUCCACCAAGGGCAUCUCCACGCUAGAGUCACUGGGUACCCUGCCUGAGCCUCAGCCUGGGCCAAGCAGAGCACACUUGGAAAAUCCAGAGAGCGUGCAGGCACCUCCCCCAGUGUGACCAUCCAGAGGCUUCCCCGGGGAACCAA